AGUCGUAACAAGGUCUCCGUUGGUGAACCAGCGGAGGGAUCAUUACCAGAGUGCCCUAGGCUCUCCAACCCAUUGUGAACUUACCAAACGUUCCCUCGGCGGGCUCAGCGCGCGGUGGCCUCCGGGCCUCCGGGCGUCCGCCGGGGAAAACCAAACCCUGAUUUAAUCGUAUUUCUCUGAGGGGCGAAAGCCCGAAAACAAAAUGAAUCAAAACUUUCAACAACGGAUCUCUUGGCUCUGGCAUCGAUGAAGAACGCAGCGAAAUGCGAUAAGUAAUGUGAAUUGCAGAAUUCAGUGAAUCAUCGAAUCUUUGAACGCACAUUGCGCCCGCCGGCACUCCGGCGGGCAUGCCUGUCCGAGCGUCAUUUCAACCCUCAGGCCCACCCUUCCGGGGGAGCGGGCCUGGUUCUGGGGAUCGGCGGCCCUCGCGGCCCCCGUCCCUCAAAUUCAGUGGCGGUCGCGCCGCAGCCUCCCCUGCGUAGUAGCACAACCUCGCACCGGAGAGCGGAACGACCACGCCGUAAAACACCCAAUUUUUUAAGGUUGACCUCGGAUCAGGUAGGAAUACCCGCUGAACUUAAGCAUAUC
rnacentral:misc_RNA from 1 species